GACGAACGCUGGCGGCGUGCUUAACACAUGCAAGUCGAACGGAAAGGCCCUGCUUUUGUGGGGUGCUCGAGUGGCGAACGGGUGAGUAACACGUGAGUAACCUGCCCCUGACUUUGGGAUAACUUCAGGAAACUGGGGCUAAUACCGGAUAGGAGCUCCUGCUGCAUGGUGGGGGUUGGAAAGUUUCGGCGGUCGGGGAUGGACUCGCGGCUUAUCAGCUUGUUGGUGGGGUAGUGGCUUACCAAGGCUUUGACGGGUAGCCGGCCUGAGAGGGUGACCGGCCACAUUGGGACUGAGAUACGGUCCAGACUCCUACGGGAGGCAGCAGUGGGGAAUAUUGCACAAUGGGCGGAAGCCUGAUGCAGCAACGCCGCGUGCGGGAUGACGGCCUUCGGGUUGUAAACCGCUUUCGCCUGUGACGAAGCGUGAGUGACGGUAAUGGGUAAAGAAGCACCGGCUAACUACGUG
rnacentral:rRNA from 1 species